UAGCGUAUAUUAAAGUUGUUGCGGUAAAAAAGCUCGUAGUUGGAUUUCUGCUGAGGAUGAGCGGUCCGCUCACUGAGCGUGUAUCUGCUUCAGCCUUGGCAUCCUCUCGUUAAUCGUUCCUGCGCUUGAUUGCGUGGGGCGAGUGGCGGGACUUUUACUUUGAGGAAAUUAGAGUGUUCACGGCAGGCUAUCGCCAGAAUACAUUAGCAUGGAAUAAUACUAUAGGAUUUUGGUCCUAUUUUGUUGGUUUCUAGGAUUAAAAUAAUGAUUAAUAGGGACAAUUGGGGGCAUUCGUAUCAACACGUC
rnacentral:rRNA from 1 species